UGCGUAGGCGGAUUGUUAAGUCAGUGGUGAAAGUCUACGGCUCAACCGUAGAAGUGCCAUUGAUACUGGCAGUCUUGAGUACAGUAGAGGUAGGCGGAAUUUAUGGUGUAGCGGUGACAUGCAUAGAUACCAUAAAGAACACCUAUAGCGAAGGCAGCUUACUAUGCUGUAACUGACGCUGAGGCACGAAAGCGUGGGGAGCGAACAGGAUUAGAUACCCUGGUAGUCC
rnacentral:rRNA from 1 species